AACGUAGGAGACAAGCGUUAUCCGGAUUUACUGGGCGUAAAGCGCGUGCAGGCGGCACGGAAAGUUGGAUGUGAAAGCUCCCGGCUUAACUGGGAGAGGUCGUUCAAAACUACCGAGCUAGAGGAUGGGAGAGGGAAGUGGAAUUCCGGGUGUAGUGGUGAAAUGCGUAGAUAUCCGGAGGAACACCAGUGGCGAAAGCGGCUUCCUGGCCCAUAACUGACGCUCAGACGCGAAAGCUAGGGUAGCAAACGGGAUUAGAAACCCCCGUAGUCC
rnacentral:rRNA from 1 species